rnacentral:rRNA from 1 species
GGGGAAUAUUGCACAAUGGGGGAAACCCUGAUGCAGCGACGCCGCGUGAGUGAAGAAGUAUUUCGGUAUGUAAAGCUCUAUCAGCAGGGAAGAAAAUGACGGUACCUGACUAAGAAGCCCCGGCUAACUACGUGCCAGCAGCCGCGGUAAUACGUAGGGGGCAAGCGUUAUCCGGAUUUACUGGGUGUAAAGGGAGCGUAGGUGGUUCGGUAAGUCAGGUGUGAAAGCCCGGGGCUCAACUCCGGGAUUGCACUUGAAACUAUCGGACUAGAGUGCAGGAGAGGUAAGUGGAAUUCCUAGUGUAGCGGUGAAAUGCGUAGAUAUUAGGAGGAACACCAGUGGCGAAGGCGGCUUACUGGACUGUAACUGACACUGAGGCUCGAAAGCGUGGGGAGCAAA